rnacentral:rRNA from 1 species
GGUUAAGCGACUAAGCGUACACGGUGGAUGCCCUGGCAGUCAGAGGCGAUGAAGGACGUGCUAAUCUGCGAAAAGCGUCGGUAAGGUGAUAUGAACCGUUACAGCCGGCGAUGUCCGAAUGGGGAAACCCAGUGCAAUUCGUUGCACUAUCGUUAACUGAAUACAUAGGUUAACGAGGCGAACCGGGGGAACUGAAACAUCUAAGUACCCCGAGGAAAAGAAAUCAACCGAGAUUCCCCCAGUAGCGGCGAGCGAACGGGGAGCAGCCCAGAGUCUGAAUCAGCUUGUGUGUUAGUGGAACGGUCUGGAAAGUCCGACGGUACAGGGUGAUAGUCCCGUACACCAAAAUGCACAGGCUGUGAACUCGAAGAGUAGGGCGGGACACGUGGUAUCCUGUCUGAAUAUGGGGGGACCAUCCUCCAAGGCUAAAUACUCCUGACUGACCGAUAGUGAACCAGUACCGUGAGGGAAAGGCGAAAAGAACCCCGGCGAGGGGAGUGAAAAAGAACCUGAAACCGUGUACGUACAAGCAGUGGGAGCACCUUCGGGUGUGACUGCGUACCUUUUGUAUAAUGGGUCAGCGACUUAUAUUCUGUAGCAAGGUUAACCGUAUAGGGGAGCCGCAGGGAAACCGAGUCUUAACUGGGCGUUAAGUUGCAGGGUAUAGACCCGAAACCCGGUGAUCUAGCCAUGGGCAGGUUGAAGGUUGGGUAACACUAACUGGAGGACCGAACCGACUAAUGUUGAAAAAUUAGCGGAUGACUUGUGGCUGGGGGUGAAAGGCCAAUCAAACCGGGAGAUAGCUGGUUCUCCCCGAAAGCUAUUUAGGUAGCGCCUCGUGAACUCAUCUUCGGGGGUAGAGCACUGUUUCGGCUAGGGGGUCAUCCCGACUUACCAACCCGAUGCAAACUACGAAUACCGAAGAAUGUUAUCACGGGAGACACACGGCGGGUGCUAACGUCCGUCGUGAAGAGGGAAACAACCCAGACCGCCAGCUAAGGUCCCAAAGUCAUGGUUAAGUGGGAAACGAUGUGGGAAGGCACAGACAGCCAGGAUGUUGGCUUAGAAGCAGCCAUCAUUUAAAGAAAGCGUAAUAGCUCACUGGUCGAGUCGGCCUGCGCGGAAGAUGUAACGGGGCUAAACCAUGCACCGAAGCUGCGGCAGCGACACUAUGUGUUGUUGGGUAGGGGAGCGUUCUGUAAGCCUGCGAAGGUGUGCUGUGAGGCAUGCUGGAGGUAUCAGAAGUGCGAAUGCUGACAUAAGUAACGAUAAAGCGGGUGAAAAGCCCGCUCGCCGGAAGACCAAGGGUUCCUGUCCAACGUUAAUCGGGGCAGGGUGAGUCGACCCCUAAGGCGAGGCCGAAAGGCGUAGUCGAUGGGAAACAGGUUAAUAUUCCUGUACUUGGUGUUACUGCGAAGGGGGGACGGAGAAGGCUAUGUUAGCCGGGCGACGGUUGUCCCGGUUUAAGCAUGUAGGCUGGUUAUCCAGGCAAAUCCGGAUAAUCAAGGCUGAGGUGUGAUGACGAGGCACUACGGUGCUGAAGUAACAAAUGCCCUGCUUCCAGGAAAAGCCUCUAAGCAUCAGGUAACAUCAAAUCGUACCCCAAACCGACACAGGUGGUCAGGUAGAGAAUACCAAGGCGCUUGAGAGAACUCGGGUGAAGGAACUAGGCAAAAUGGUGCCGUAACUUCGGGAGAAGGCACGCUGGUGUGUAGGUGAAGUCCCUGCGGAUGGAGCUGAGACCAGUCGAAGAUACCAGCUGGCUGCAACUGUUUAUUAAAAACACAGCACUGUGCAAACACGAAAGUGGACGUAUACGGUGUGACGCCUGCCCGGUGCCGGAAGGUUAAUUGAUGGGGUUAUCCGUAAGGAGAAGCUCUUGAUCGAAGCCCCGGUAAACGGCGGCCGUAACUAUAACGGUCCUAAGGUAGCGAAAUUCCUUGUCGGGUAAGUUCCGACCUGCACGAAUGGCGUAAUGAUGGCCAGGCUGUCUCCACCCGAGACUCAGUGAAAUUGAACUCGCUGUGAAGAUGCAGUGUACCCGCGGCAAGACGGAAAGACCCCGUGAACCUUUACUAUAGCUUGACACUGAACAUUGAGCCUUGAUGUGUAGGAUAGGUGGGAGGCUUUGAAGCGUGGACGCCAGUCUGCGUGGAGCCAACCUUGAAAUACCACCCUUUAAUGUUUGAUGUUCUAACGUUGGCCCCUUACCGGGGUUGCGGACAGUGUCUGGUGGGUAGUUUGACUGGGGCGGUCUCCUCCCAAAGCGUAACGGAGGAGCACGAAGGUUAGCUAAUCCUGGUCGGACAUCAGGAGGUUAGUGCAAUGGCAUAAGCUAGCUUGACUGCGAGCGUGACGGCGCGAGCAGGUGCGAAAGCAGGUCAUAGUGAUCCGGUGGUUCUGAAUGGAAGGGCCAUCGCUCAACGGAUAAAAGGUACUCCGGGGAUAACAGGCUGAUACCGCCCAAGAGUUCAUAUCGACGGCGGUGUUUGGCACCUCGAUGUCGGCUCAUCACAUCCUGGGGCUGAAGUAGGUCCCAAGGGUAUGGCUGUUCGCCAUUUAAAGUGGUACGCGAGCUGGGUUUAGAACGUCGUGAGACAGUUCGGUCCCUAUCUGCCGUGGGCGCUGGAGAAUUGAGGGGGGCUGCUCCUAGUACGAGAGGACCGGAGUGGACGCAUCACUGGUGUUCGGGUUGUCAUGCCAAUGGCACUGCCCGGUAGCUAAAUGCGGAAGAGAUAAGUGCUGAAAGCAUCUAAGCACGAAACUUGCCCCGAGAUGAGUUCUCCCUGAGACUUUAAGUCUCCUGAAGGAACGUUAAAGACGAUGACGUUGAUAGGCCGGGUGUGUAAGCGCAGCGAUGCGUUGAGCUAACCGGUACUAAUGAACCGUGAGGCUUAACCUU